UUGUAGUCAUAUGCUUGUCUCAAAGAUUAAGCCAUGCAUGUCUAAGUAUAAGCAAUUGUACAGCGAAACUGCGAAUGGCUCAUUAAUAUCAGUUAUCGUUUAUUUGAUAGUACCUUAUCUACUUGGAUAACCGUGGUAAUUCUAGAGCUAAUACAUGCUAAAAAGCCCAACGUUUGAAGGGCUGUGUUUAUUAGAUACAAAGCCAAUGCCCUCCGGGGCUUCCUGGUGAUUCAUAGUAACCUCGCGGAUCGCACGGCCUUGUGCCGGCGAUGGUUCAUUCAAAUUUCUGCCCUAUCAACUCUCGACGGCUCGGUCUUGGCGAGCCGUGGUGGCAACGGGUAACGGAGGGUUAGGGCUCGACCCCGGAGAAGGAGCCUGAGAAACGGCUACUACAUCCAAGGAAGGCAGCAGGCGCGCAAAUUACCCAAUCCCAACUUUGGGGGAGGUAGUGACGAGGAAUACUGAUACAGGGCUCUUUUGGGUCUUGUAAUUGGAAUGAGUACGAAUUUAAAUCCCUUAACGAGGAACAAUUGGAGGGCAAGUCUGGUGCCAGCAGCCGCGGUAAUUCCAGCUCCAAUAGCGUAUAUUAAAGUUGUUGAGGUUAAAAAGCUCGUAGUUGAACCUCGGGCCCGGCCAGCCGGUCCGCCUCACCGCGUGUACUGGC
rnacentral:rRNA from 1 species